UGGGGAAUAUUGCACAAUGGGCGCAAGCCUGAUGCAGCCAUGCCGCGUGUAUGAAGAAGGCCUUCGGGUUGUAAAGUACUUUCAGCGGGGAGGAAGGCGAUAAGGUUAAUAACCUUGUCGAUUGACGUUACCCGCAGAAGAAGCACCGGCUAACUCCGUGCCAGCAGCCGCGGUAAUACGGAGGGUGCAAGCGUUAAUCGGAAUUACUGGGCGUAAAGCGCACGCAGGCGGUCUGUCAAGUCGGAUGUGAAAUCCCCGGGCUCAACCUGGGAACUGCAUUCGAAACUGGCAGGCUAGAGUCUUGUAGAGGGGGGUAGAAUUCCAGGUGUAGCGGUGAAACGCGUAGAGAUCUGGAGGAAUACCGGUGGCGAAGGCGGCCCCCUGGACAAAGACUGACGCUCAGGUGCGAAAGCGUGGGGAGCAAACA
rnacentral:rRNA from 1 species